AGAGCGAACGCUGGCGGCAGGCCUAACACAUGCAAGUCGAACGGAUCCUUCGGGAUUAGUGGCGGACGGGUGAGUAACACGUGGGAACGUGCCUUUUGGUUCGGAACAACUCAGGGAAACUUGAGCUAAUACCGGAUAAGCCUUUCGAGGGAAAGAUUUAUCGCCAUUAGAGCGGCCCGCGUAGGAUUAGCUAGUUGGUGGGGUAAAGCCCACAAGGCUACGAUCCUUAGCUGGUCUGAGAGGAUGAUCAGCCACAUUGGGACUGAGACACGGCCCAAACUCCUACGGGAGGCAGCAGUGGGGAAUCUUGCGCAAUGGGCGAAAGCCUGACGCAGCCAUGCCGCGUGAAUGAUGAAGGUCUUAGGAUUGUAAAAUUCUUUCGACCGGGACAUAAUGAACGGUACCCGAGAAGAAGCCCCGGCUAACUUCGUAGCCCAGCCAAGCCGC
rnacentral:rRNA from 1 species